rnacentral:lncRNA from 1 species
AUGAAUGCAGACGUUGCAGACGUUCCGAUGGUGGGAAAGUCAGCACUGGCUGAGAACCAGCGCUCUGAGAGGCGCCUCCUCCACGGAGCACAGAUCCACACAGCAGAGAUUUCCAUGCGCUCUGGGGAUGUGCAGACAAGACCUGAAUGGCAACCUGGCCGGCGACCGGAGAAGAAAUGUCACAGUGACAUUGCCACCAAGGCCCAUGAGCCCCCCGCCUUGUGUCAGAGAACAGUCUCCUUGGCCAGAGCUGUUCCGCCUGGCCCGCGGAGGGACAGUGACGGCCACGGGACACGCACUGCAGCUGAGAAUGGGGACAACUGGGUCCCUGCUGGGCUCAAGGUGACGGAGAUGUGGGCUGGGAGAGAUCAGGGCUGGGGCACCGGUGGCCAGGUGGGGGUCCAGCCCAGCGUGGAUGGAGAGCAGAGCCAGCAGCGGCAGAAAGGGGGGGGGAAGGCCCGUGCCCAGCAGAAGAAGAGACCCCUGCCCCACCGGGCCCUCCCACCCACUUUGCCAUGGGAGGAAGCCACCCUGUCGCUGUGGGGGACACACGGCUCCUUUCGACCCCAAGUCAUCCCCCCAGGCCUCUUCCCCGCUGGGGCUCAUUUUGCAGAGGUGGCCUGGAGGGGCAGGAGUGGGCUAAGCUUUGCUACUGGACACCAGGAGUUCCAAUUCCAGACUGCAGCCCACAGGCCUUGGCCUUGGCUAAGCCCCAGGACUGCAUCCGCACAAGCACUGAUCGGUCGGAACAGACGCGGCGUGAAGACAGUGGACGGGGCGGGCUGGGCACCGGCUCCGCCUCCGACUCCUCCCUCCACGUGCUGUGCUGUGGGGUCCGCCCGUCCACUCCACUCCACGGGGCCGUGGGGCAAGAUGGGGCAGAGUGUCCAGCCCAGCACCUUGCACACAGCAGGUCUCAGGGACAGUGCCGUGACCUCCCCAGAGGACCUAGAGGUGCUGAGGUCUCGCUUCCCUGCCGUGUACCCUAAUCCGACAGAGGCGUCGCGUCUGCAGGUGUUGCAGGCCCUGUGCCUCUGCUUCUGGCCGGGCUCAGGCGCAGGCAGGCGGGGAGACGGUCCGGAUGUGAAUUGUGUCACCUGCAGCCAUUGUUCAGUGACCACGGCUGCUGCGGGGGGCCCAGCUGAGGCCGUGGGUCCUGGGCCCCUGCUCGCUGGGAUCUUCGUCCUGCCCUGGGGCCCUGGAACACCCGACUGUCACCCACCCUAG